CAGCAGCCGCGGUAACACAGAGGGUGCGAGCGUUAAUCGGAUUUACUGGGCGUAAAGCGUGCGUAGGCGGCUAAUUGAGUCGGAUGUGAAAUCCCCGAGCUUAACUUGGGAAUUGCAUUCGAUACUGGUUAGCUAGAGUGUGGGAGAGGAUGGUAGAAUUCCAGGUGUAGCGGUGAAAUGCGUAGAGAUCUGGAGGAAUACCGAUGGCGAAGGCAGCCAUCUGGCCUAACACUGACGCUGAGGUACGAAAGCAUGGGGAGCAAACAGGAUUAGAUACCCCAGUAGUCCCUGUCUCUUAUAC
rnacentral:rRNA from 1 species